rnacentral:rRNA from 1 species
UACGUAGGGUGCAAGCGUUGUCCGGAAUUAUUGGGCGUAAAGGAGCUCGUAGGCGGUCUGUCGCGUCUGCUGUGAAAACUCGAGGGCUUAACCCUGAGCUUGCAGUGGGUACGGGCAGACUAGAGUGCGGGUAGGGGAGAUUGGAAUUCCUGGUGUAGCGGUGGAAUGCGCAGAUAUCAGGAGGAACACCGAUGGCGAAGGCAGAUCGUCUGGGCCGUAACCUGACGCUGAGACGCGAAAGCGUGGGGAGCAAACAGG